ACAAAGUGUAAAUGUUGUGUACAGGGAAUUAUUGUGGUUGUUUUUUAUGAUUAUUGUCAUCUUUAUUGUUAUUUAUAGAUACUUCUGGUUAUUACUGAACAGAUUUCUUUCCCUCAUAUUUUAAUUUUGAAGGUUAAAUUCUUGCCCCAAGAGCAAAAGUGGUAAUCAUACUACUUGAUGUAUGGACUUUUACACCAGGCUUUUACCCUGCACGAGCUGGCCAACUUGAGGGGAACUGAAGUGGGCAAACCUCGCCCUGUCCUUGAACAAGAAAGCUGGAUUUGUUGAGAGAGUAUCAUUUAAGCUGAAAUCCAGCAUGAAACCAGGGAGGCGAUGGCCAUCGCACAGGCCAUGUGCCGACUAUUCACUUUUCACCAGCUUGUGACUUGCUCCAUGAAGGGAGCAACAACUACAACUGGGUCACCAAGACCAAGCCUCCCCGCUGCUGAGAGAAAUGCAAUCAUUGAUGUCAUAGCCAAAACCUUUUACAAGCCUCUGGUUGAUGUUGAAGAAAAGAUGAGAGGUUGUUUAAGGCAUCUGCGGCUGAUGCACAAGUAGACUGAAGUCUUUGUAAAUAAAAUGUGCUGUUAAAAUGAUUAUUUAACCAUUGUUUUCACUUUGUUAUAUAGAUUUGCACCUGUUUCAACAACAUUAACUUAUUUUUAUGCUCCCGGUAGGGUCUCAUAUAGCAGUUGAACUGUCCGUCUGUCUGUCUAUCCGUCCGAAAACUUUAGCAUUGGUCAUAACUUUUGCAAUAUUGAAGAAAGCAACUUGACAUUUAGCAUGCAUGUGUAUCUCAUUGAGCUGCACAUUUUGAGUGGUGCAAGGUCAAGGGCAUCCUUCAAGGUCAGAGGUCAAAAUCCACUGGAAUAAAUAAGCAAAGAGAGAUAAUUUCUAUACUUGCCAAAUGAUAAAUAGAAAUUUUAUUUCAAAGCGGCGCAGAAGGGGGCAUUGUGUUUCUGACAAACACAUCUCUUGUUUGUAUUUAUUCCAUACAAUCUUACUUUUUUCAGUUCUUUCUUUGUGUUCAAUGUUAUGUUAUAACACUAUUAUAUUUUAUUAUAACAAUGCCAUGUCUGUCAAAAUAGUUUUAUCAUGCUGUGUAUAUGGAUAUAUAUGUAAAGUUUUAUGUUUUAUCGUUUAAAAAAGUAAUUAGAAUUUAA